UUGCCUUAACGUCUUAUUUUCUGUUAUCGGAAAAAACCCUUUUGAUAGAACACCUUUUGAUUUGUUAAUUAAUCUACAACUAAACUUUAAACCAAUUAAAAAUGAGAAAAGAAAACAUUUAAUAUAAUGUUUUCAAAUAUAUGUGGAUGUGCUGUACAUGUAGUAAAUGACAACCACAUAUUUCCGGUGACUCGAGUGAUUUGUACUUCAGCUAUUUAUGUAGCAAUAAAUAACCAAAAAAUCACUCUUAUAUGAUAAAUUAUAGAUAAAUACAUGUACAAAAUUUUAAUAAAUUAAAUGCAAGCAUUGAACGAAAAAAAGUACACGCAAUCCAUAAAAUAACUUUCAACUUUAUUUCCCGCAUAGCUGGUAAUGUCGUCGUGAUUUCACAUGAACAAAAAUCACACGUGCGAUACAUGUUUAAGUGUACAGAAGCUGAUCAGAAACACAACAGCGUCUUUCAUCUUGGGUUCUAUACACAACAGGUGUUAUUGUCUUAUUUUGUUUUUUGGCAAUUAUUGUACUUUACAACUAAAUCUGUAUAUUUGGAUGCUUUAUUAACAGGUGUACACGAGAUGCCAGUAUUCACUCCUUUCCACGGACACCUGUUAGGAGGAUUUUCAUUUGUUUGCUGCCUUUGUCUUGGGAGGUGGAGGCACCAGGGCAAUGAGGUCAUUUUGUCCCUUUAUGAUGCUGACAGAGAGUCCCUAACCAUCUGAUCCAUCAUGAUAGGCAUUUUUCUUUAUGAUGCAGUACUUGCUGAGAGAGAGAGAGAGAGUCUCAUACUCGGAUGAGCACAGCGUAGAUAUAAAUCAAAAUCCCGGACUUGUGUUUCAUACACAAUGAUGUAUAAGGUAUUUAUAAGGUUAAUGAAAAAGUCAAAUUUGACAAAUUCUGAGGUGAGUAAAAUGAUUAGUAUUAGAAUGAGGGUACUAAUGCACUUGGAUGUUGACACCUUAGAAUUGUUAAUACAGUGGGGCCUCAGAUAUCCGGACGCCAGAUAACCGGACGCUUCAGUUUACGGACGAUUUUAUUUGGGAACAGAUUUUUUUAUACGUUAUUUUCUCUCAUUUAUCUGGAAUUCUGUGUUCCGGAUCUGGACGGUCUAUUUUUACCACAAAACAUCGUUUUACUACUAAUCUUGCUUCAUUUAACCGGACAGUAAAAUUUCAUGAUACCAUACUCAGUACAAAAGAUUUCCCCUGUCAAUUAAGUUUCACACCUUUUUUACGUGCAAGACCCUCAUGAGUAGCUUGUAUAAACACACUGACAUCCCAAAUCACUUUCAAAAAUUGGAAAAUUGCGAACAACAGUGUAUCACACACAUACCACACUGAGACACAAAGAAUUUAGCUAGAUAUGGUUAUCACUAUUGUCCGGUUAAUAUUUCAUGACAAAAUAAUAAAAUAAAGUUCUUUAUAUCUAAAAACGUUCAUAUCAACAGACAACUCUAGCAUAUGUUGCUAUAUGGUAUGAAAGGCAAAAAACCUAGUAUCAACACUGGGAGCCAUUGUAUACAAAUACAUUAUCAUUCAUGACAACGAUAGACACAUUUCAGAUAUCCGGACGCUUCACCUAUCCGGACGAUUGGACUUGGGAACGAAAGCGUCCGGAUAACUGAGGCUCCACUGUACAAGAUUUAGCAGAGCAGAAACAGAUAGGGCUAGGUGAUGUGCUAUAUAUAUAAAUGAAAUAAUUUAUA